UCAGGAUGAACGCUAGCGGUUGGCUUAACACAUGCAAGUCGAACGGUAAGGUCUCGCUUGCGAGAUACACGAGUGGCGCACGGGUGAGUAACGCGUAUGCAACCUGCCUUUAGCUGGAGAAUAGCCCGAGGAAACUUGGAUUAAUACUCCAUAAUAUUUCAAAAUUACAUGAUUUUGUUAUUAAAACUCCGGUGGCUAAAGAUGGGCAUGCGUGCCAUUAGCUUGUUGGUGAGGUAACGGCUCACAAAGGCAAUGAUGGCUAGGGGGUCUAAAAGGAUGGUCCCCCACACUGGUACUGAGACACGGACCAGACUCCUACGGGAGGCAGCAGUGAGGAAUAUUGGGCAAUGGACGAAAGUCUGACCCAGCCAAACCGUGUGCAGGAUGAAGGCUCUACGAGUCGUAAACUGCUUUUAUUUGGGAAGAAACCUUCGGAUGUAUUCGAAGUUGACGGUACCAAAUGAAUAAGCAUCGGCUAACUCCGUGCCAGCAGCCGCGGUAAUACGGAGGAUGCAGGCGUUAUCCGGAUUUAUUAGGUUUAAAGGGUACGUAGGCGGAUUAGUAAGUUAGUGGUGAAAUCCUGUGGCUUAACCAUAGAACUGCCAUUAAUACUGCUUAUCUUGAAUACAGUUGAAGUAGGCGGAAUGUAUCAUGUAGCGGUGAAAUGCAUAGAUCUGAUACAGAACACCAAUUGCGAAGGCAGCUUACUAAACUGUAAUUGACGCUAAUGUACGAAAGCGUGGGGAGCGAACAGGAUUAGAUACCCUGGUAGUCCACGCCGUAAACGAUGAUCACUCGUUGUGUGCGAUAACAUGUACGUGACUGAGAGCAAUCGUCACGUGAUCCACCUGGGGAGUACCGUCAGCAAUGAUGAGACUCACAGGAAUUGACGGGGGGCUCCGCACAAGCGGAGGAACCUGUCGUUCAAUUCGAUGAUACGCGAGGAACCCUUACCUGGGUUUAAAUGCAUUGCACGUUCGGGUGUAGUUCACCGUAAGUUUACUUUAAUUUGCAAGGUGCUGCAUGGUUGUCGUCAGCUCUUGCCGUGAGUUUUCGGUUUAAGUCCCAUAACGAGCGCAACCCCUAUCCUUAGUUGCCAUCAGAUAAUGCUGGGUACUCUAAGGUACCUGCCAUCGUAAGAUGUUGAGGAAGGUGGGGAUGACGUCAAAUCAGCACGGCCCUUAUGUCCAGGGCUACACACGUGUUACAAUGGCAAGAACAAAGGGCAGCUACCAGACAACUGGAUGCUAAUCUCUAAAACUUGUCUCAGUUCGGAUUGAAGUCUGCAAUUCGACUUCAUGAAGACGGAUUCGCUAGUAAUCGCGCAUCAGCAACGGCGCGGUGUAUACGUUCCCGGGCAUUGUACACACCGCCCGUCAAGCCAU
rnacentral:rRNA from 1 species